rnacentral:rRNA from 1 species
UACGUAGGGUGCGAGCGUUAAUCGGAAUUACUGGGCGUAAAGCGUGCGCAGGCGGUUCGUCAAGUCAGGUGUGAAAUCCCCGGGCUUAACCUGGGAAUUGCGCUUGAAACUAGCGGGCUUGAGUGUGGCAGAGGGGGGUGGAAUUCCACGUGUAGCAGUGAAAUGCGUAGAGAUGUGGAGGAACACCGAUGGCGAAGGCAGCCCCCUGGGUCAACACUGACGCUCAUGCACGAAAGCGUGGGGAGCAAACAGG